rnacentral:rRNA from 1 species
UACGUGGCAUACGGCUCAGUAACACGUAGUCAACAUGCCCAGGGGACGUGGAUAACCUCGGGAAACUGAGGCUAAACCGCGAUAGGUCAAGAUUCCUGGAAUGGAUCAUGGCCCAAAUCUAUAUGGCCCCUGGAUUGGACUGCGGCCGAUCAGGCUGUUGGUGGGGUAAUGGCCCACCAAACCUGUAACCGGUACGGGCUCUGAGAGGAGGAGCCCGGAGAUGGGCACUUAGACAAGGGCCCAGGCCCUAUGGGGCGCAGCAGGCGCGAAACCUCUGCAAUAAGCGAAAGCUUGACAGGGUUACUCUGAGUGAUUUCCGCUAAGGAAGUCUUUUGGCACCUCCAAAAAUGGUGCAGAAUAAGGGGUGGGCAAGUCUGGUGUCAGCCGCCGCGGUAAUACCAGCACCCCGAGUGGUCGGGACGAUUAUUGGGCCUAAAGCAU